CGAAGCCCGCAUACGUUGUAGAGAUUCCGGAACAGGAUCUCUUUGUUGUUGAAGUUGUGGAAAUUUGAAAAAUCAAACCGAACGGGAAUGGAAUCGAAUCGAUAGAUAAUUUUUUCAAUUGGAACGCAAAUUGGAAUUCUGUGGCGUUGGAUUGUGUUUCCAAUUUCAUUUGAAACCUUUCAAUCCGGAUCUAACAUUUCGCCUCGAAGCAAUGAUAACGAUUCCCUAUCUGACUGCUUUGACUACAUAUUUCAGCUAUGGAUUGCUCUUCGCUUUUGGCCAAUUCCGAGAUUUUUUCAGGAAAAUUUUCGAUUGGUGGCAUGCCAGCAAUCUUCAGGGUUACGCGCCGAUCUGUUUAGGGCUUGAAGACUUCUACAUUCGACGUCUCUAUCUUCGAAUUCAGGACUGUUUUGGACGACCUAUAUCAAGUGCGCCUGAUGCUUGGUUUGAUGUGGUGGAACGUUACUCCAAUGACAAUAAUAAGACAUUAAAGCGAGUCCUUUAAUUAUUAUGCUCAGAAUUUUAUAUCCUCGGCAUUUGGAAGCACUUUUAAUUUCUUGCGUAAUUAUUAGCUUCAGUGAAAAUUUAGGUACUGGCUAAGUUGUAAACAGUUAGUAAAUUAAUUUUCAUAAUUGUAUCUUGUGCAGACGAACUACGAAGAUAACUAGGUGUCUUAACUUGGGAUCGUACAAUUACCUUGGCUUUGCCGCGGCUGAUGAAUAUUGCACACCACAUGUUAUUGAAUCAUUGCAUAAGUUUUCCCCAAGUACUUGUAGUUCUCGUGUUGAUGGAGGAACUACAACAGUCCACACUGAAUUGGAGGAGUGUGUUGCAAACUUUGUUGGAAAGCCAGCUGCCGUUGUAUUUGGCAUGGGCUAUGUGACAAACUCUGCCAUCCUUCCUAUCUUUAUUGGGAAAGGAGGGUUGAUAAUUAGUGACUCAUUGAACCACAACUCUAUUGUAAAUGGUGCUCGAGGAUCUGGAGCAACAGUUCGAGUUUUCCAACAUAAUACACCAUCUCACUUGGAGAAAGUUUUGAGAGAACAAAUUGCUGAUGGACAGCCUAGGACGCAUAGGCCUUGGAAGAAGAUAAUUGUCAUUGUUGAGGGUAUCUAUAGUAUGGAAGGGGAACUCUGCAAACUUCCAGAGAUUGUUGCACUGUGCAAGAAAUAUAAGGCAUAUGUUUACUUGGAUGAGGCUCACAGCAUUGGAGCUGUUGGAAAAACAGGAAGAGGUGUUUGUGAAUUGUUAGGAGUGGAUCCUGCUGAUGUGGAUAUUAUGAUGGGAACUUUUACAAAAUCAUUUGGAUCAUGUGGUGGUUAUAUUGCUGGGUCCAAGGUUUGUUGCUCAUGUGUUUAUCCUCAAUCCUAGUACAAGCAUGGUGUAAUGCAAUUCCGUGUCAUUAAGGAGAAUAUGUUACCAUGGCAUUUUUUGUAGCAAUAUUUCAUUCACCUUUCCUUAAUAUUAAAUUGUUUUGCCCAAAAUCAUAAUCAGUGUUUUAUUUUACUAGUUUAUUUACAUUCUUUAAUGUAAAGAAUUUCAAUAUUAUGCAAGGUUUGGAUGGAUUGAAAAUUGUGACUGCAAAAGGUAACAGCAAGAUUUUUUGCAUCAGGAUUUUGCCUUUAGUUAUAUGUAAAACAAAAUGCAAUCCUUUGAUUACAAAAAAAAAAGGCAAUAAUUUGGUCAUUCCCUUGUCCACUGUAAGCAUGUCUUUCACCGUGUUUGGUUUUUCCUGUAUUUAUCCUGUGAGUCUAGUAUCUAUUAAGAGCUUAUCAUGAUUGAUCCUUGAUUCCUUGUUGGCCCUUUCAAAUUUUUAACAAAAUAUCAUCAGUGUUAUGAUUUGGUUAUUUCCACUACUUUUAGAUAUUGUGAAGUAUGUCAACUGUGGACGUCAAGCUUUCAUAAUUUUCUAAUUUCCUUUUUCCCAUAUUGCAGAAUAUAUAAGCUUGGUUCCAGUUGAUUGAUGGAGUUGUGAAUAUUAUGUGUUUGCCUGAUGGCUGAUGUUUGCUUGUUCUUUUAGGAGGUUAUACAAUAUCUCAAGUACUCUUGUCCUGCUCAUCUAUAUGCAACAUCGAUAUCACCUCCGGCUGCACAACAAAUUAUAUCUUCCAUACAGGUCAUUCUUGGAGAAGAUGGUUCUAGUAGAGGUAUUUGAAAAAUGAUUCCUUCGUUCUCUUCUUUGAAGGGCAGUUUUUCCAAUUGUGCUAAUCAUUUGGAUUCAUGUUGAAUGCUAAUUUUGUUUUAUUAUGACUUUUGAGUGUCUUUUCUGUCACUUUAGGGGCUCAAAAACUUGCAAGAAUACGUGAAAACAGCAACUUUUUCAGGUCAGAGCUGCAGAAGAUGGGUUUUGAGGUUCUUGGAGAUCAUGAUUCUCCUGUUAUGCCCAUAAUGCUUUACAAUCCUGCAAAAAUCCCUGCGUUUUCUCGGGAGUGUUUAAGACAGAAUGUGAGCGACUUAAUUUUGUUUGGUAUUUUCAUGUUGAUCUUGUGGAUUAAUCUACUUUAUGUGGGAUUAUAUUGUCAUUUUUACUGGCUGCUUCCUCAUGAUUUGAUAGUUCUUAUUGUUGCCACUAAUUAUGAAGAUUGAUCGGCAUCAUUACAGGUAGCUGUUGUUACAGUUGCUUUUCCAGCUACCCCUCUACUUUUAGCCAGGGCUCGUAUUUGUAUAUCUGCCUCUCAUACCAAGGAAGACCUUCUCAAAGCUUUAGAGGUAAAUAAGCCUGCUAAUAUGGACUCUGCUUUUCAUAUCUUUAUAGCCCUUCAUCGCAUAUGUUGUAGACUGAAGGUUUAUGCACAUGAACUGGUGUUUACUAACUUGUUGAAUAUCAUGUUUGCUGAUUGGGGAUACAUGGUUAUUAGACAAACAUUAAUCUUAGAACUACGUAUUCGAUUGCCCCUUGUUCAGAAUUUGGUGAUAGGAAAGCUAUGGCUUUGUUCUUGUAAAUUUUGAGUUCUUUCAGUUUGCCAUUUGUCAAAUUCCUUGAGUGGCUUCUUUUGGACCUUUUAUUUGCUAUUGCCCUACGAUCAACCCCAGGGUUAGGCAAGCAGAAUAUGUCAGGCCAAUUCAAGUAGGUGACAGGUUAGUGCUUCUAGAUACCGGCCAAGUAAUGGCAAUUCUUCUUUCUUUUGGCAGGUUAUAAGUAAGGUAGGUGACCUCGUCGGCAUAAAGUACUUCCCUGCUGAACCAAACAAGCAGCAUCAGGAGCAAAUCACAAUGAAGUUGGAGUGAGCAUUUGAAUUUUCAUUGAAUUUCAUUUUGGUGAACAAUGUGUACUUUGUAGCGUCUAGAAGAAGCUGUAGGCUUUGAUUAUUUCCAGAUCUCCUCUGAGAAUCGGGGAAUGUUGUAGUUCUGUAGCCAUUUAUGUGCACCCAGCAUUGUCUGGCUUGUUUUCGUAUCUUUCUCAUAUGUAAUGUUCUAUCGGAUAUGGAUUUUGGCUUCAAUGUACAGAUAAAAACGAAAUUCAUUUAAUUCACAAGUAUUUUUUCCACUUAGAACUAUAAUAAUGCGUUCAUGCCCUUCUGGUUCGAAGGGAUCGCAAUAUGUGAUUCCAACCU
rnacentral:misc_RNA from 1 species